rnacentral:rRNA from 1 species
UGAGGAAUCUUCCGCAAUGGGCGAAAGCCUGACGGAGCGACACCGCGUGGAGGAUGAAGGCCUUUUGGUUGUAAACUCCUUUUCUGGGGGAAUAAAUGAUGAAGGUACCCCAGGAAUAAGCACCGGCUAACUACGUGCCAGCAGCCGCGGUAAUACGUAGGGUGCAAGCGUUAUCCGGAAUUAUUGGGCGUAAAGAGUGCGUAGGCUGCUUGACAAGUUUGGGGUUAAAUCUGAUCGCUUAACGAUCAAUCUGUCCUAAAAACUAUCAAGCUAGAGAAUGAUAUAGGCAACUAGAAUUCUGCAUGUAGGGGUAAAAUCCGUUGAUAUGCAGAGGAAUACCAAAAGCGAAGGCAGGUUGCUGGGUCAUUUCUGACGCUGUUGCACGAAAGCGUGGGGAGCAAACAGG